UGAGGAACAUGACCUUCGGCGGGGGAUAGCCGGCCCAACGGCCGGGUAAUACCGCGUACGACCACAUGGGGACAUCCCUGAGUGGUGAAAUCAGCAAUGCGCCGAUGGAGUGCCUCGCGGCCUAUCAGCUAGUUGGUGAGGUAACGGCUCACAAGGCGACGACGGGUAGCUGGUCUGAGAGGAUGGCCAGCCACAUUGGGACUGAGACACCGGCCCAGACCUNUACCGGGAGG
rnacentral:rRNA from 1 species